rnacentral:ncRNA from 16 species
CAUAUGUUUAGGCAAUCGGUGGCUUUUUGUUGAAAAUCUGUUUCGGAACAUUCAGUAAAAAGCUGAAAAGGGAAGUUGGUGCAAAUCCAACGCGGUCCCGCCACUGUAAAAUGGGAGCGUCCUGAGAUAACCCACUGUGUUUUGGUACGGGAAGGGGCAGGAAGCGAUGAUCAUAAGCCAGGAGACCUGCCGAUUUCACCUCUACAAGU